rnacentral:rRNA from 1 species
AAUCAACGCUGGCGGCGUGCCUCAGACAUGCAAGUCGAACGAUUAAGACUUCCUUCGGGAAGUGCAUAAAGUGGCGCACGGGUGAGUAACACGUAAGUAAUCUACCCUCGAGUGGGGAAUAACGUUCGGAAACGAACGCUAAUACCGCAUAAUGCAGCGGCAUCGCAAGAUGACAGUUGUUAAAGGAGUAAUUCGCUUGAGGAGGAGCUUGCGGCAGAUUAGCUAGUUGGUAAGGUAACGGCUUACCAAGGCUACGAUCUGUAUCCGGUCUAAGAGGACGGUCGGACACACUGACACUGAAUAACGGGUCAGACUCCUACGGGAGGCAGCAGUCGGGAAUUUUGGGCAAUGGGCGAAAGCCUGACCCAGCAACGCCGCGUGAAGGAUGAAGUAUUUCGGUAUGUAAACUUCGAAAGAAUGGGAAGAAUAAAUGACGGUACCAUUUAUAAGCUCCGGCUAACUACGUGCCAGCAGCCGCAGUAAUAC